rnacentral:rRNA from 1 species
GACGAACGCUGGCGGCGUGCCUAAUACAUGCAAGUAGAACGCACAGUUUAUACCGUAGCUUGCUACACCAUAAACUGUGAGUUGCGAACGGGUGAGUAACGCGUAGGUAACCUGCCUGGUAGCGGGGGAUAACUAUUGGAAACGAUAGCUAAUACCGCAUAAUAUUAAUUAUUGCAUGAUAAUUGAUUGAAAGAUGCAAUUGCAUCACUACCAGAUGGACCUGCGUUGUAUUAGCUAGUAGGUGAGGUAACGGCUCACCUAGGCGACGAUACAUAGCCGACCUGAGAGGGUGAGCGGCCACACUGGGACUGAGACACGGCCCAGACUCCUACGGGAGGCAGCAGUAGGGAAUCUUCGGCAAUGGACGAAAGUCUGACCGAGCAACGCCGCGUGAGUGAAGAAGGUUGUCGGAUCGUAAAGCUCUGUUGUAAGAGAAGAACGGGUGUGAGAGUGGAAAGUUCACACUGUGACGGUAUCUUACCAGAAAGGGACGGCUAACUACGUG